UACGUAGGGUGCGAGCGUUAAUCGGAAUUACUGGGCGUAAAGUGUGCGCAGGUGGCCGCGCAAGUCGAGUGUGAAAUCCCCGGGCUCAACCUGGGAACUGCAUUUGUGACUGCAAGGCUGGAGUGCGGCAGAGGGGGAUGGAAUUCCGCGUGUAGCAGUGAAAUGCGUAGAUAUGCGGAGGAACACCGAUGGCGAAGGCAAUCCCCUGGGCCUGCACUGACGCUCAUGCACGAAAGCGUGGGGAGCAAACAGG
rnacentral:rRNA from 1 species